UACGAAGGGGACUAGCGUUGUUCGGAAUCACUGGGCGUAAAGCGCACGUAGGCGGAUUUGUAAGUCAGGGGUGAAAUCCCGGGGCUCAACCUCGGAACUGCCUUUGAUACUGCGAAUCUUGAGUCCGAUAGAGGUGGGUGGAAUUCCUAGUGUAGAGGUGAAAUUCGUAGAUAUUAGGAAGAACACCAGUGGCGAAGGCGGCCCACUGGAUCGGUACUGACGCUGAGGUGCGAAAGCGUGGGGAGUAAACAGG
rnacentral:rRNA from 1 species